rnacentral:lncRNA from 1 species
GCUUGUUGUAUGGCUGAAAUGUGGCAGUGCCGGGAGAGGCCUGAGGAGGGCAGGACAUGUGAGUCCAGAGCCCCAGUGUGCUACAAGAGAACAGUGCUCAGUCAUCUACAGUAUCCAACCCCCUGCUGUGGGGGCAGCUCAGGCAGAGGUCUUUAUGCCUCUUUGCAAAUGGAUCAUUGUGAUAAUGUAACUGCAGCUCUGCAGGAGAUAAACACAGAAGUUCAGACAGUACAACACAUGUCUCGGGACCCCUUGCAGAGUUUGUGGGAUUCACCGACGUCCACUAUUCUGUCUUGGACUCUUCCCUUUACAGUGCUUGUUCUCCUCUUUUCACUCCCCUGCUUAUUAUUGCCAUGCCUAAUCUGCUUCAAAGAUUUCUCACCAACAGGACUGUGGCCAUUUCAUAGGCAGUUACCAAAGACCACAUCCAUACAGCCCUCCUUCAGUCCAGCCGAGACCUCACAAUCUUGCUUCUAGUUGGCAGGAAGUAGUUCAGGAAGAAAUGUGCUGCCCAUUUUCCUUAUCUAAUAGAGUCUAGCACGAAGGAAUGCAACUGCAGCCAUCCUGAUCAGAGACCCCUCUAAACUACCCCUCCCUGCUCAGCUGCACCUGAAGACUCAACACUGUCAGCCCUGCUACUGAUAGCCGCUGCUACUCCCUGUGCUUUCCCAAGUCUUGUCCUUGGGCAACCAUUACUACUCUCUCAAGCCUCUGUGCUCUCUCAAGCCUUGUUCUUGGCAGGUACCCACAACCCCCUCUCACUGAGCUCCUCCCUCCGCAUGAGAGUUAGGGUCUGGUCUCUAGUGCCAGAGUGGUCCCCUUCAGGUUUGUUCUGCAAUAAAUCUGUCCAGUUGAGCUCGUACCUCUGUUUCUUUUCCUCCUUUUUCCCUCACAAGGGGCUCUCAGUGAAAUCCAUGUGUUUGAACUAAGACAGGGGCAGGGGAGGAGGAGAGCCGGGUGUGGAAAUCUGAGGGAAGAGCGUCCUAGGUACGGUGACAGCACGUGCAAAGGUCCUGAGGUGAGACAGAGUCUGGCAUCCUGGAGGAACAGAAAGACCCGUGUG